CACCUCAUUUGCCUCAUUAUUUUAGUAAUGGUGCAAAUUACUUUCUAAUUGCCGCAUUUUGGUAAAAAAGAGCAUUAAAUGUAUUCUUCUAAUCUUCCGUAUUCCUAAAAUCCUUUAUUAAUUUUAUUUCCCCUUUUGUUAUUUUUAAUCAACUCUUUACUCCCAGCGUAAAACCACAAGCGGACCCUCUCAGUUCAACCUCGCUGUCGUAACUCAAGUGUUGCUCCACCUCAGAUUCACGCUGCUGUCGCAUUCUUCUCGCUGCUAGUGACUGCUUCUCCUUGUUGGUUUCGAUGAUGUUGCUAAUUAGGUGUUUGAAGAUGCAUAAUUAUGAGGAUUUCAUGAAACUCUACAAAUAGAUUUUGGGAUAUUGGGUUGAGGUUGAUGAUCUUGGUACUUCUCUUGAAGGAAAUUCUAUUGAUGUCGUUCCUCUGCUGGAAGUGUUGACAUAGAUACUUCCAGCUUCUCAGCUGGAAGUACUGAUGUUGUUCCUUUGUUAGUGUCGUUUUCUUGCAGAUGUUAGCAGGAAUGAAGAAAGGGAAACACAAGAAGCACAUGGUGCAGAUGUACAACUACGUAAUGACAAAAUGCCAAUCACAUAGAAUGGACUCUUGGUAAAUGAAAUAGUCCAUGAACAUUGUCAUGGUUCACCAACAAGCUCUACAUGGAUGAUGAAGCUGAGAACGAUUUUAAGGUGAAAAUUAAAGAGACAAUGGAGAAAGCCUUUUGGGAUGGUAUCUUGGAAUCUAUGAACCAGAAGCAGCCUGACUUCAGUUGGGUUCUUAAACUUAUGACAGAAAUUAGGGAUGAACUGUGCGAGAUGUCUCCCGGUAGCUGGCGACAUGAGAUUAUUGAUAUGAUUGAUAUUGAUAUUCUGUCACAUGUAGUUUAAUUUUUCAAGCCCAUGGACACUAUUGUACUUCAUAGACAUAUCAUUUAUCAUAGGAACAAUGCUAUCUAUUACUAUAUACUAAAAGAGACACCAUGAAUGACACGUGUCAUUUCCUGGUGCGA